rnacentral:rRNA from 1 species
AGAGUUUGAUCAUGGCUCAGAACGUACGCUGGCGGCACGCCUAACACAUGCAAGUCGAACGCAGUAGCAAUACUGAGUGGCAAACGGGUGAGUAUAAUGUGGGAAUCUGCCUUUUGGUUUGGAAUAACACGGGGAAACUUGUGCUAAUACCGGAUAAGCCCUUACGGGGAAAGUUUUAACGCCGAAAGAUGAGCCUGCACUUGAUUAGCUAGUUGGUAAGGUAAAGGCUUACCAAGGCUACGAUCAAUAGCUGUUCUUAGAGGAAGACCAGCCACAUUGGGACUGAGACACGGCCCAGACUCCUACGGGAGGCAGCAGUGGGGAAUCUUGCACAAUGGGGGAAACCCUGAUGCAGCGAUGCCGCGUGAGUGAAGAAGGCCCUUGGGUUGUAAAACUCUUUCGUCGGGGAAGAAAAUGACUGUACCCGAAUAAGAAGGUCCGGCUAACUUCGUGCCAGCAGCCGCGGUAAUACGAAGGGACCUAGCGUAGUUCGGAAUUACUGGGCCUAAAGAGCUCGUAGGUGGUUAAAAAAGUUGAUGGUGAAAUCCCAAGGCUCAACCUUGGAACUGCCAUCAAAACUUUUUAGCUAGAGUGUGAUAGAGGUAAGUGGAAUUUCUAGUGUAGAGGUGAAAUUCGUAGAUAUUAGAAAGAACACCAAAUGCGAAGGCAACUUACUGGGUCACUACUGACACUGAGGAGCGAAAGCAUGGGUAGCGAAGAGGAUUAGAUACCCUCGUAGUCCAUGCCGUAAACGAUGUGUGCUAGACGUUGGAAAUAUAUUUUUCAGUGUCGCAGCGAAAGCAUUAAGCACACCGCCUGGGGAGUACGACCGCAAGGUUAAAACUCAAAUGAAUUGAC